AAGUCGAGCGGGCGUAGCAAUACGUCAGCGGCAGACGGGUGAGUAACGCGUGGGAACGUACCUUUUGGUUCGGAACAACACAGGGAAACUUGUGCUAAUACCGGAUAAGCCCUUACGGGGAAAGAUUUAUCGCCGAAAGAUCGGCCCGCGUCUGAUUAGCUAGUUGGUGAGGUAAUGGCUCACCAAGGCGACGAUCAGUAGCUGGUCUGAGAGGAUGAUCAGCCACAUUGGGACUGAGACACGGCCCAAACUCCUACGGGAGGCAGCAGUGGGGAAUAUUGGACAAUGGGGGCAACCCUGAUCCAGCCAUGCCGCGUGAGUGAUGAAGGCCCUAGGGUUGUAAAGCUCUUUUGUGCGGGAAGAUAAUGACGGUACCGCAAGAAUAAGCCCCGGCUAACUUCGUGCCAGCAGCCGCGGUAAUACGAAGGGGGCUAGCGUUGCUCGGAAUCACUGGGCGUAAAGGGUGCGUAGGCGGGUCUUUAAGUCAGGGGUGAAAUCCUGGAGCUCAACUCCAGAACUGCCUUUGAUACUGAGGAUCUUGAGUUCGGGAGAGGUGAGUGGAACUGCGAGUGUAGAGGUGAAAUUCGUAGAUAUUCGCAAGAACACCAGUGGCGAAGGCGGCUCACUG
rnacentral:rRNA from 1 species